rnacentral:rRNA from 1 species
UGGGCAAUCUGCCCUUCUCUUCGGAAUAAGCGUUGGAAACGACGUCUAAUGCCGAAUACGACCUCCUUUCGCAUGAUCGGAGGUGGAAAGCUCCGGCGGAGAAGGAUGAGCUCGCGGCCUAUCAGCUAGUUGGUGUGGGUAAUGGCCCACCAAGGCGACGACGGGUAGCCGGCCUGAGAGGGGCGACCGGCCACACUGGGACUGAGACACGGCCCAGACCUCCGUACGGGAGCAGCAGG